UAAACAUGUAAGAUAACAGAGCCAAAGGAGGAAACUUUGAAUCAAGAAACCCUGAGAAGAUAACUGAAUCAGUAUAGUAGCAGAAGAGAUGAGUAGAGUUUCGGUAUCUACGUGUUCACGAAUGUUUAAUCCAACACCCAAGUUUAGAGAUAUUCAGUGCAUGCAUUCAGUGAGGUGUGAGCAAAUGAAGUUUGAAAGUGUUAAAUCGCUAGUUUCUCUAGCCCUAGACAAGCGGAGAUAUGAACUUAUGACGAACACAUAGAGGUUUGAUAUUGAAGACAAGCAAGACUCGAGUCUAGCUACUAUUUAAAUGUCACCGGUAUUACAAAAAUGGUCAGAAGACGGAACCAUACAUUAUUAGAUAAUGUAACCAUAAAAGAGGAACACAAUAAUUUAUACUCCAUCCGUUUCACAAAGAGUGUCCCUUAGACAUUUUUCACACAUAUUAAUGAACUCAUUAAAAUGCAUUUAUGUUUUUAUUAAUAUCACAUAUCUAACCAAUAGUAUUUUAGAUAAAUCGAUUUAUUUAUAAAAUCAAUGCAUUUUGCCAUUACUUUUCAGCUGAAAAGUUGUAUAAAUUGCAUUGGUAUUGUAGAAAGACACUUUGUUAGUUUUUUCCUCCAUUAGCCCGAAACCCAAAAAUCAUGAUCCAUAUUAAGAGCCCAAAAGAAGAACACAAGGAGGAAAAAUUAUCUAGAAUUAUGGAGAAGAAGAGAGAAAGUUAUGGAGUAGAAUAAUUAAUGUUAGAUAUUUUGAAAUAAGAUAAUAAUUUAGAGAAAUCUAGAACAUGUUAGAGUUUGCUCCUUCACUUGUAUAAAUAGGGGUGCUUAGCACCAUUUGUAUUAUUCAAGAAUCAAGAAAAGCAAUUGAGAGAAAACAUUCAAGAAAGAGUUUUAAGAAAGUUUCUAAAAGAAUCUCCAAGCACAAGCCUUAGUAGAAAAUUCCUUUCCCAAAUACAAAAGCUAUCUCAAACAUAAACCGUCUACAUUCCAUCUUAAACUCUCAAAGAAAAUAUUAUCCGCUAAUUUUCCCAA
rnacentral:lncRNA from 1 species